rnacentral:rRNA from 1 species
UACGUAGGGACCGAGCGUUGUCCGGAAUCAUUGGGCGUAAAGAGCGUGUAGGCGGCUUGCUAAGUCUUGCGUGAAAUCUCGGGGCUCAACCCCGAGCGGUCGUGGGAAACUGGCAGGCUAGAGUGCGGGAGAGGAGAAUGGAAUUCCUGGUGUAAGCGGUGAAAUGCGUAGAUAUCAGGAAGAACCACCCGUGGCGAAGGCGGUUCUCUGGAACGCAACUGACGCUGAGACGCGAAAGCGUGGGGAGCAAACAGG